rnacentral:lncRNA from 1 species
AUGGGUCAAGUGAACAGGAAUCAUCAGAAGCUCUGUGUCAUCUUGAAGACUAUAAAUAGGGCGGCGCAGUGGGCCAGGGCCAGACCGCUGGACAGAGCCACGAUGGAAGAGGCAAGCUCCCAACAACAAGCUGCAAGCACCAAAGAGGACAGGGAGAGGGAGGCCCCCUCAGCCCACGUCCAGGUGCCUCGACAAGGGCCCAAAGGCAGGCAGCAGCGUAAAGGACCUGUGCGAGGGAGAAAAAUAGUCCGUCCCAAACUGCGCCGUCCUACCGUGAAACCGAAGAAAGGGAGGGGGUCAAAGCCCGUCCAAAUUUAUUACUAUCUGAACACGAAAAUCAGUCCAAAUGUGCCAGCCAAUGGCAUGAAGGACCGGGAGGCCCCCAGCACCUCGUGCGGGACCCCGGCUGCCUUGAACGCGGCCGUGAAGCCCGAGACUUCUGAAUCACCUAAGAACUCACCCGAGGCUCAGCCGCUGAGCAAUGCUCAGUAAGCAGAUGUUG